AUUGGCAAUGGGCGCAACCUGAUCCAGCAAUGCCGCGUGAGUGAUGAAGGCCUUCGGGUUGUAAAGCUCUUUUGUCCGGGAAGAAACGGUGGGGGCUAAUAUCCUUUGCUAAUGACGGGACCUGAAGAAUAAGCACCGGCUAACUACGUGCCAGCAGCCGCGGUAAUACGUACGGUGCAAGCGUUAAUCGGAAUUACUGGGCGUAAAGCGUGCGCACGCGGUUUUGUAAGUCUGACGUGAAAUCCCCGGGCUCAACCUGGGAAUUGCGAUGGAGACUGCUAGGCUUGAAUCUGGCAGAGGGGGGUAGAAUUCCACGUGUAGCAGUGAAAUGCGUAGAGAUGUGGAGGAACACCGAUGGCGAAGGCAGCCCCCUGGGUCAAGAUUGACGCUCAUGCACGAAAGCGUGGGGAGCAAACAGGAUUACAUACCCUGGUAGUCCACGCCCUAAACGAUGUCUACUAGGUGUCGGGUUUUAAUUAACUUGGUAACGCAGCUAACGCGUGAAGUAGACCGCCUGGGGAGUACGGUCGCAAGAUUAAAACUCAUAGGGGAUG
rnacentral:rRNA from 1 species